UACGGAGGGUGCAAGCGUUAAUCGGAAUUACUGGGCGUAAAGCGUACGCAGGCGGCCUGUCAAGUCGGAUGUGAAAUCCCCGGGCUCAACCCGAGAACUGCAUUCGAAACUGCCAGACUAGAGUCUUGUAGAGGGGGGUAGAAUUCCAGGUGUAGCGGUGAAAUGCGUAGAGAUCAGGAGGAAUACCGGUGGCGAAGGCGGCCCCCUGGACAAAGACUGACGCUGAGGUGCGAAAGCGAGGGGAGCGAACGGG
rnacentral:rRNA from 1 species